rnacentral:rRNA from 1 species
UACAGAGGUCUCAAGCGUUGUUCGGAUUCAUUGGGCGUAAAGGGUGUGUAGGUGGCGCCGUAAGUCGGGUGUGAAAUUUCGGAGCUUAACUCCGAAACUGCAUUCGAUACUGCCGUGCUUGAGGACUGGAGAGGAGACUGGAAUUUACGGUGUAGCGGUGAAAUGCGUAGAUAUCGUAAGGAAGACCAGUGGCGAAGGCGGGUCUCUGGACAGUUCCUGACGCUGAGGCACGAAGGCCCAGGGGAGCAAACGGG